GAGAGACCAGUCGAGACAAGCCAUGAAGAGAAGCUACGAGAGCGGUUCACAGAAAGAGAAGAAGAGGGAGAAAAGAACAGGAGUUUUUAACAAACCCGCCAAAGAUCCCUGACACAGUCACUACCAUCUCUCUGACAGCCAUCCUGACGUCCUGUUUGGGACCAGCGUCCACAGUCUGGACAGUCUUCCAUUGGAAAGCGUAGCUUGUACAGACCACAAACACAUCACAGUCCCCCUUUAAGUGGACCCAGUCCUGCUUUUCAUGUGGUCUUGGGCCUGUGUGACCACUGAUGGGACCAAGCUGGACCAGGUCCUCUCCAGUCUGGGUAAAUCCAUAUAUACAGCCGAUAAAAUCACAUCCUGUCGUCUUAUAUGACGUUUUCAGAGCCCAGUUGCUGUCAGAUUUUUUUUGAACAUGGUUGAUAUUUUCAACUGACAUUAAGAUGGUGUCACCAUGCGAGGCAAACUGAUAGUUAACCGUU